UACGUAGGGUGCAAGCGUUAAUCGGAAUUACUGGGCGUAAAGCGUACGCAGGCGGCUAUGUAAGACAGGUGUGAAAUCCCCGGGCUUAACCUGGGAACUGCAUUUGUGACUGCAUAGCUAGAGUCUGUCAGAGGGGGGUGGAAUUCCACGUGUAGCAGUGAAAUGCGUAGAGAUGUGGAGGAACACCGAUGGCGAAGGCAGGUCUCUGGGCCGUAAACUGACGCUGAGGAGCGAAAGCAUGGGGGAGCGAACAGG
rnacentral:rRNA from 1 species